AAGUCGAACGGUAACAAGGAAAAAGCUUGCUUUUCGCUGACGAGUGGCGAACGGGUGCGUAACACGUAUGCAACCUAUCUUUAACUGAGGGAUAGCCCAAAGAAAUUUGGAUUAAUACCUCAUAAUAUUACGAGAUCACAUGGUCAUGUAAUUAAAAACUCCGGUGGUUAAAAGAUGGGCAUGCGCAACAUUAGCUAGUUGGUAAGGUAAUGGCUUACCAAGGCGACGAUGUUUAGGGGUCUUAAAGGAUGGUCCUCCACACUGGUACUGAGACACGGACCAGACUCC
rnacentral:rRNA from 1 species